UCUGAUUAAUGAUGAGACCCUUUAUAUUUGGUGACUGCUGGAUGAAACUUGCGGAUAUGGGACUGAAAUCAGAG